CAAAGUGAACUUCCUGAUAGUCUGCUAUUAAGACUUGAAAUCAUGGCACCGGUUAAAGAAGAAGAUGAGACGUUCUCAUCAGAUCAACUUCAGUACCAACAUGUUCUCAUUAGCUCUGCUGCUGCUGGCUGCUGGAUCCUGUGUGAAGUGUGAACAGCUGACACAGCCAGGCUCUGUGACUGUGCGUCCAGGGGCUCAUCUGACCAUCACCUGUCGCACAUUUUGGAUCAGACAACCUGCAGGAAAAGAACUGGAGUGCAUUGGUAGUGUACAUAUUGGACACAGCACACAGUACAAAGAUUCACUACAGAACAAGUUUAGUAUCGACAUAGACUCUUCCAACAGGACCGUGACUCUGAUUGGACAGAAUGUGCAGCCUGAAGACUCUGCUGUGUAUUACUGUGCCAGAGAACCACCCACAGUAACACAAAGCAUCAUGAGACCUGAACAAAAACCCCUCAGUGACUGAAC